UACGGAGGAUCCAAGCGUUAUCCGGAUUUAUUGGGUUUAAAGGGUGCGUAGGCGGCCCGGUAAGUUAGAGGUGAAAGCCCGUGGCUCAACCACGGAAUUGCCUCUGAUACUGUCGGGCUAGAGAAUAGUUGCUGUGGGCGGAAUGUGUAGUGUAGCGGUGAAAUGCUUAGAUAUUACACAGAACACCAAUUGCGAAGGCAGCUUUCUGGCCCAUUACUGACGCUGAGGCACGAAAGCGUGGGGAGCAAACAGGAUUAGAUACCCUGGUA
rnacentral:rRNA from 1 species